GAUUAGAUCUCAAAUCAGGUAGGACUACCCGCUGAACUUAAG
rnacentral:rRNA from 1 species